UGUAGCCCAUGGUCAGAAUUACCAAUUAACUUGAGCUCACAGUAGACUGUGGCCUCUCUGAGGGCAGGGAUGACGUCUGAUUCCUCCUCCCAGUGCUCAGCGUAGUGGCGGAGAGAUCGCAGAUGCUCACUGAACGUUAGGAAUGGAGGGAGGAAGGUCAGAGGUAGGAAGACAGAAAGAGGGGCGAGCUACCAUCUUGAGUAGAUAUGAUCUGGGCCCAAACGGGACGCAGAUGCUCCGUGUUCUCAGACGUGUGUGCGAAUGCAUGCGUGUUUAGCUCUUAGUUAUGCUUAUUAAGUGCACUUGCUGGUUUUAUUCAUCUGCUGCUUCAGCCUGAAUAUGGCCUUUGCUCUGCAUCUCCACCCUGUGUGUUGUGAUGGGAAGGUUGGUGGACAGACUUCUGUGGCUCUAGAGAGCAGCUAGAAGUUCAUCGUCAUGAAAUAAGGACAGCCACAGUGAGAUCGUCACUCUAAGUGGAGUCAACCAGAAAGAGAAAGAGAAAUGCCAUAUGAUACCACUCAUAUAUGGAACUUAAUGACACAAAUGAAC